GUCAGUGUGGUGUAAUGGUUUGUGUGCUAGAUUAUGACUUUGAAGACCAGGGUUCGAUUCCCUGCUUGGCCA